rnacentral:rRNA from 1 species
CCUACGGGAGGCUGCAGUGAGGAAUAUUGGUCAAUGGACGAGAGUCUGAACCAGCCAAGUAGCGUGAAGGAUGACUGCCCUAUGGGUUGUAAACUUCUUUUAUAUGGGAAUAAAAUGUUCCACGUGUGGGAUUUUGUAUGUACCAUAUGAAUAAGGAUCGGCUAACUCCGUGCCAGCAGCCGCGGUAAUACGGAGGAUCCGAGCGUUAUCCGGAUUUAUUGGGUUUAAAGGGAGCGUAGGUGGAUUGUUAAGUCAGUUGUGAAAGUUUGCGGCUCAACCGUAAAAUUGCAGUUCAAACUGGCAGUCUUGAGUACAGUAGAGGUGGGCGGAAUGCGUGGUGUAGCGGUGAAAUGCUUAGAUAUCACGAAGAACUCCGAUUGCGAAGGCAGUUCACUGGACUGCAACUGACACUGAGGCUCGAAAGUGUGGGUAUCAAACAGGAUUAGAUACCCGUGUAGUC